rnacentral:lncRNA from 1 species
UAACCAAAACGUGAUGAUGAGUUCAUUAUUUGAAUCAGCUGUGUAGUGCAAGUGCAAAAACCAAAACGUGCACCCUUUGGGGUCCUCGGGACCGGGUUUUGGAAACGCUGAACUAGUAAUAUAUAUAGAUGUACUGUAGGAUUAGUUGGUCUUAUGUAGUAGUGCUAUAUGCAGUAGAUUUAGGGUUAGUUUGUGGUAUGUAGUAGCUCUGUAUAGAUGUAGGGUUAGUUGGUGGUAUGUAGUAGCUCUAUAUAGAUGUAGGGUUAGUUGGUGGUAUGUAGUGGUGCUAUAUGCAGUAGAUGUAGGGUUAGUUGGUGGUAUGUAGUAGUGCUGUAUGAUGUGGUUAGUUUGUGGUAUGUAGUGCUCUCUAUGAUGUAGGGUUAGUUGGUGUAGGUAGUAGCUCGUA